rnacentral:rRNA from 1 species
UACGUAGGUGGCAAGCGUUGUCCGGAUUUAUUGGGUUUAAAGGGUGCGUAGGCGGUCCCAUGAGUCAGUGGUGAAAUCCUCUAGCUCAACUAGAGAUGUGCCAUUGAUACUGCGGGACUUGAGUGAAGUCGAAGUAGGCGGAAUUGACGGUGUAGCGGUGAAAUGCUUAGAUAAUCGUCAAGAACACCGAUAGUGAAGACAGCUUACUAGGCUUAUACUGACGCUGAGGCACGAAAGUGUGGGGAUCAAACAGGA